AAAAAUUACAGACAGUUUACCCUCUCGGUCUAAAUGAUAAUAUCAUGGGAAUUGGUAAUAUAUCUAGAACCAAUUCCGUUAACAUUUUGGAUAUAGUUUCUAAAACUGUUCGUAAAAAACGUUCUCACGGUCGUAGAACAAAUCGCAAUCAAAGAAGAUUUCGGGCCAAUCAUACCAAUAUUUCGGACCUAAUUUCUAUUUCAAAAAACAACGG
rnacentral:lncRNA from 1 species